UUGACACACCACGCUUCCGUGUUGAGCUGUCUGUGCGCUGAGUACAGGAACGGACGGGCGUAUUUACCUCCACAUUGAUUGUGGGUGAGGUGGUUCCUGCAAAAACAGUGCCAACAUUUGAGCGUUCCCAUUUGGGUGCAAGUGUGGAGAGCUUGCUAAUUGGAAUCUCGACUGUCACACAACGCUGCUGCUUUGCCUGCACCAAGUCACUGCUUACUUAGCGGUUGCGAGAGAGAGACCGGCUGCCUGGGACACGCCCCCCACCCCCUCUUCCGAAAUCGAAACAAGGAGCGGCUGAUCGCAUUCAUUUCGGAUUGGAUUGGACUGGGUUGCUCAUUUUGCUGUGCCGUCGAGCAUAGGGAUUUUAUGGGUUUAUUUUGACAUUUUUUUAUUUCUUUUAUUGCCUGUAUUUUUAACAAAUUGUCUCUUAUUUUUAUUUUCUAGACUACCGGUGGUGCGCUCGGGCCCUGGAUGCGGCGUCCCAUUUUGGUGUGACUGUAGUGAUCAGUACCAAUAGGUGGAGGGAAUUACAAGGAGUGAGUGACUUCACGGGUGUUUGUUUUGAUUUCUUUGCUUUGGAGCCUACCAUCCAGGACCUAGCUGUAUCCACCGGUAAGCCUAUUCGGAUUUGUUUUGUGAAUUUUCUUUUUUGUUCAGAUACAGGUCUUUUUUUUUAC